UUUCCUGAGAGGGUCACUGAACAAUCAGCAUCAUGAAGACCCUGGAACCCAGCAGACGGGUCAGGGAGAAC